UACAGAGGUCUCAAGCGUUGUUCGGAUUCAUUGGGCGUAAAGGGUGCGUAGGCGGCGCGGUAAGUCGGGUGUGAAAUCUUGGAGCUUAACUCCGAAACUGCAUUCGAUACUGCCGUGCUUGAGGACUGGAGAGGAGACUGGAAUUUACGGUGUAGCGGUGAAAUGCGUAGAUAUCGUAAGGAAGACCAGUGGCGAAGGCGGCUUGCUGGGCCUUACCUGACGCUGAGGAGCGAAAGCGUGGGGAGCGAACAGG
rnacentral:rRNA from 1 species